CUUUCUUUCUCCUCAACCUUUCUUCUAAAAUAGGAGGCCCAUGAAACACGGUCUGGUCUGCAACCCAUGGCAGGAUGGACUGAGACUCAGACUGAUCAGUGUUAUAGGCCGUGGGCGCUCUUUAGACCUGUGAUGCACACACAGCAGCUGGAUGGGGAACUCCCUGGCUGAGAGCCAGCUGGUUAUUUUUUGCUGAUGCUGUCAAUAACACAAAUUGUUCAGAGUGCCUACCCUUGCAUUGUUCUCCUCUUCAUCCUGCACAUCUUAAAAUUAACGAGCAGUCCUUUGACUACCCUGGCUCUUUCUUCUCCAGUUUUCUCAACCACCACACAGAAUAUGUCAGCAGUCAGAUGGCACUGGCAUGCCACCUAUGGAGAAUCGCCUCUGGCUUUAAGCCCAGACCAAGAGAAAACUAGAAUUGGAAUUUUUGGAUGACGACUUUUGUCCUGAUGCUUCCCAAUAGCAUUCGCUAAAGACUAGAGACAGAUAGUUUGCAACUUAGCACCAUGAGCAAAAGUUGCCUGGUUUUGCAUUUUGACCAUUGAGUAAAAGGACUCAUGUUUAGCCAAGAUUCUGAACUGGCUGUUGGGGCUGACUUGGUUCUCAGAGGUCUCCCUAAUGACUGUGGAGCUAAAGGCUUAACUUCAAAGAAUGUUUUGGAGAAAUAGCCCCAAUGAAUUCCAAGCUCUGGGAAGGGGUUGGGGGAUAGGGGUGGGACACAGGGGCUGGAGUGGGGAAGGGAGGGAAUCCUUUCAUGCCCAUUAAUGUAUUGCUAAUUGCAUCAUAUCCAGAUGUUUCCUUUCUCAACUUCAGAGGUAGAGGGCCUGAGAGAUGGUGGUGCAGAUGUUAAAAGCCUUGUCUUAAGUUUAUACAAGUAUGUAGCAGAGUGAAAAGAUUGCCAGGUCUGAGUUGUACUCGUUACACCACUUCCACUACAUUCAUUUCAAAAAAUGAAUAUAAAUUAGCCAGCUCUGUUCUCAUCAUGAAAAUACUUUUAUUUUCCUGUGAAGAGGUUUUAUCUCCCCAGUCAAAUUAUUGGCCCUCUGGUAGACUGUUAAGUCCAAUACUUGUGUUCUCAUCUUUGCAAACAAUAAGUGCUCCAUGAAUAAAUGCUGAUUAAUAUAACAAUAAGGUGGUUACAAGGAUAUACUUUCAGCCCUGGCCUACCCUACAACUUUUUUCUUUAUUUUUCCUACUUUAAAAAAAUUGCUGAGCCAAUACUGCUCAUCGUAAAAAGGCACUGAAUAUAAAAUAAUCAUCUCCCACCUCUGCCCCAUUUUAUAUAUUUAAAAUAAUUAAUGCUGUUAGGUAGAUAGUCUUCCACAUCUAUUUCCAUGUUCAUACAAGUAUAUUCAAGCUAUGGACACAUACACAGUAUUCACCUGUAUUAUUUUUAAAGCAAAACCAGCAUUAUUCUACAUACAUUACUCUGCAACCUUGUUUUUUCACUUAUGUUGAUAUCACGGACAACUUUCCAAGUCAGUAAAUAUGCAGCUUAUUUAUUCUAAUUGCUGCAUAAUAGUCCUAUAAUGGAUAUAUCAUAAUUUACUCAACCAUUCCCACGUCAGUGAAUACUCAGCUUCCCACUGUCUUCUAAAUAGCUUCUUAUUUAAUCAACACAUUGCCUGGCCUCUUGCAUAUCAACUUCUGCUUUUUUAUAACUAGGACAGGCCAUGUCCAAAAUGAGGUAAUCUACUCCUUGGGCGAAUGCCUCCAAACCACCAGGAAAUUUGUUUUCUAUGAAUUAAAAUACCUGUACUAAGGUGUCCUUUUUAUUCCAUAAUUAAGGUUAGAGUAUAUCUUUUCUGGACACUGUUGUCUUUUAGGUAAGGUAUGAUAUACAGAUAAUAUAAUAUCUUCACUAGAAAAUGGAAUAGUCUGAGGUUACCAAAGAAUCUUAGAUCUUUUGUGAUAGUGUCUAAUACAGGUAUAUUUAUAGUACAUGAUUUCUACCCCAUUGUAAUGCAACAACAACAUCAUCGAAAACGAUUUGAGGCUGCUUUUUGUUUUUUUUUAAUUUUUCAAAAUUGUUAAUCUAUCAAAACAUGGGCUCCAAAAGUGUAGAGCAUUUAGUUCCCCAGGGCAUCUCCAGCAUGUGUAAUAGAAGGAUGACUGAUGCAUGUAGCAGGGACUGUGUAAAUAUUCAUUGAAUGAUGAAAAUCGACUCCUAAAUUUCACACUCUUCAUCUCACUCUGGGCAGAAGGAAGUGAUAUUCUAACAUAUGCUGUACUUUUCUUUUUUCCAAAUGACAAUAGGUGACCCAGAUAGUUCCAGAGUCCUGAGCUCCAUUAAUUCCCAGAAGUCUAACCCUGGGGACUGACUAUGUGUUAGCUGACAGCAGAGGCACAGACUCAGACACCAGCUGAGACUAUAACUCCCAAGACAACCAAAUGCGGGGAAAGUGGUUUAAAAGUUGAAGCUCUAAAAGCAUUAUUUUUCCUGAGUCCAUACAUAUUUGCCUCAAUUGGUGAAAUACUCAUAAUAUAGUAGAGUACUAUUCUGCCAUUAAAAACGAUAACAUAGAAGAACAUUGAAUAAUGUGGGGAAAUAGGAUAUAUAACACGACAGUGUGACCCUGCCUGAGUUAAAGGAAAUAUAUAGCUAAAGGAAAUAUAUAUCAAUUUGUAUAUGUACAGAGCCAGAACUAUAUACACCAAAAUGUUAACAGUAUUUUAGGUGAAGUUGAGAGGUGACGGUGUGCUGGCAGUCCUCAGAGCCCUCGCUUGCUCUCGGCACCUCCUCUGCCUGGGCUCCCACUUUGGCGGCACUUGAGGAGCCCUUCAGCCCACCGCUGCACUGUGGGAGCCCCUUUCUGGGCUAGCCGAGGCCAGAGCCGGCUCCCUCAGCUUGCAGGGAGGUGUGGAGGGAGAGGCGCGAACGGGAACGGGGGCUGCGCUCGGCGCUUGCAGGCCAGCUGGAGUUCUGGGUGGGCGUGGGCUUGGCGGGCCCCGCACUCGGAGCAGCCGGCCGGCCCUGCCGGCCCCGGGCAGUGAGGGGCUUAGCACCCUGGCCAGUGGCUGCGGAGGGUGUACUGGGUCCCCCAGCAGUGCCGGCCCACUGGCGCUGCGCUCGAUUUCUCACCUGGGCCUUAGCUGCCUUCCCGCAGGGCAGGGCUCGGGACCUGCAGCCCGCCAUGCCUGAGCCUCCCACCCCCUCCAUGGGCUCCUGUGCGGCCUGAGCCUCCCAGACGAGCGCCGCCCCCUGCUUCAUGGCGCCCAGUCCCAUCGACCGCCCAAGGGUUGAGGAGUGUGACCGCAUGGCACAGGACUGGCAGGCAGCUCCACCCGUGGCCCCGGUGCGGGAUCCACUGGGUGAAGCCAGCUGGGCUCCUGAGUCUGGUGGGGACGUGGAGAGUCUUUAUGUCUAGCUCAGGGAUUGUAAACGCACCAAUCAGCACCCUGUCGAAACAGGCCACUUGGCUCUACCAAUCAGCAGGAUGUGGGUGGGGCCAGAUAAGAGAAUAAAAGCAGGCUGCCCCAGCCGCAGUGGCAACCCGCUCGGGUCCCCUUCCACACUGUGGAAGAUUUAAUCGUUUGCUCUUUGCAAUAAAUCUUGCUACUGCUUUCUCUUUGGGUCCACACUGCUUUUAUGAGCUGUAACACUCACCGCAAAGAUCUGCAGCCUCACUCCUGAAGCCAGCCAGACCACAAGCCCAACGGAGGAAGGAAGAACUCCAGAUGCGCUGCCUUAAGUGCAGUAAUACUCACCGCGAAGGUCUGCAGCUUCACUCCUGAGCCAGCGAGACCACGAACCCACCAGAAGGAAAAAACUCUGAACACAUCUGAACAUCAGAAGGAACAAACUCCAGACGCGCCACCUUAAGAGUUGUAACACUCACCGCGAGGGUCCGUGGCUUCAUUCUUGAAGUCAGUGAAACCAAGAACCCACCAAUUCCGGACACAAAGUGAUUAGGAUUAUGACUAAUUUUUUAUAAUGUCUUCUUUUUACUUAUUUUUCCAUCAAAAAAAUUCUAAAAGUAAAGAAAAGCAAGAAUUAUUUCUGAGACUGUGACUAUUCCUAACUCUUCUUUUCCAUCUUAUCAAAUCAUAGCAGUUGUUUUCUUUUAAUGAAAACUCUUGCUACAACAUACUACUAAAACAGAUAAGGGAGACAGGGUAACAUAUUUCUAAAGACAGAAAUAGCGAGCCAGACUUUAAUGACCAAAGGAAUGGUACAAAUAGGCCAGAUAAAUUUUCUAUCCAUGAAAAUGUUAACUGCGAUUUACAUGACUACUAUGCUGACAACUUCUAGUUGCAGGAAACUAGGUAUAAUUAUAAGAAAUUUUGACAACGUACAGAAGUUUUCUUCACAAAAUGGGUGAGUGUUGUGUAGAAAUAUCUCACCUUGCUUAAAAAUCUUCCACUGGUGUAGAGGGUCAGCUGUUCAUUGUAUGAGCGUUCAGAUGAGGGAUAGGUAACAUGAAAACACACUUUGUCAUGAUUUUAGAUCAUCACAUGUAUCUCAAGCUGGGUGAGUGUAUUUCACUGUGUCUUCCCUAGAACAAGCCACCACUUUGUUAUAUUGCUGCAUGGUCUGUAGUCCUCAUUGCUUGUAAAAGUGACUAACAUGCAGUUGUUCAUUCUAGUUCCUGCUCAUUACAAGCUAUGGAGCAUUACAUUCUGGAAACUUCUGGUUUGGUUAGUCCCCACUCUGACGCUUAUUGGGAAAAUAGCAGAAGAGCAGCUAAAAAGUGACUCUGGGCUUUUGCAGCCCUCACUUAGGAGACCAUGUGCAAUUAGCAGCGUGGGAAAUAUCCACGUCCCUAGCACAGUCCUGUGAAAGUUUCCCAACAAAUAUUUGUUAAACGAAUGAAUGUGUCGUGUAGGUCUUCUGAUCUAGGACCCUUUUGCAAACACAUGCUUUCUCUCAAUCUCCCCUUGUGCAUUUGUUUUAUGCAAAUUAAUUAAAUGAAACUAAACCAUCUCUUCAGGUGGUUCUGAUAUAGUUCUACUGACAACAGGUCUCAAGUUUCUUGUGAUCUCUAGAAAAUGCCUAGAAAUUUGGUUUCCAGGUUUUAUUUUCUUAAUUCUAUUAACAAAAUAAAAAUGAACACGUGAAAGUCAACACAAAACACAUGCACAGAAAUAUUUGCAGUUGAACAAUCUGCAAACAGCUUCUUGCAAAGAGACACACACACACACACAGAGAGAGAGAGAGAGAGAGAUGGCAUUAACUGGCACCUAGACAUAAACUAGAGUUGGUAGUAACCUGUUAUUUUAUUAGACAAUUUUUAUAAUGUCUGAACCCACUAAAAUAAUUCCCUUUGUUCUCUUCCUUCUUCUCCUCCUCCUUCACUUUUUUGCUGUUUUAAAGCAACUAAUAAAUAGAACUAUACCUAAAAAAGAAGGUGAAAAAAGGGAAAUAGAGUUUGUCUAUUAUUAAACCUCUAUUGUAUGCUAGGCAUUUAUUCUGGGCAUUUUACCUAUAACAUUUCUUUUAAUCCUCCUAAAACCUUGCCAAGGAGAUAUAAUUCACAGUUUUAUGGAUCCAAAAAUGUAUUCAGAGAGGACAAGACACUUGUCCUCAAACAGCUGAUAAAUGACUGAGUUGGAUCAAGUCUUUCUAUCUUAACAGCCUGCAGCUUUUCACGGCACCACUGUCAAUAGUGUAGUAAUAUUCCUGCUCUUUCGCAGUUCUUCUCCUUGGAAAGUUACUGAUGACUUGGAAGGCCAAAGAUAAUAGUCAUUUAGCCUAUAGUGCAGUGUCCUUCCCUAGCCUCCACGUAUUUGGCUGUGGGCUCUAAUUUUGGGCAAAUGUCCCUGGAGAUUGAGCAAUAAGAGAACUGUGUUAUCUGGGGCUGUCCUGGCUGAUUUGACGUUUGUCUGGGGCAGCGUCCCUAUUGAGUUAUCUUCCUCUUCUUAGUUUCAGUUCCUAGCACCAGCAUCUAUGUCCUUUGUACAAAGAACAGGUGGCCUUCCAUGCUUCCACAGGAUGACGGUCCACAAUAUUUAUGGUAAUUUGUCUCACGAUGUACAGUACAUUUUUUAUUGCACCAAAGAUCAGCCUGGGGCAGGGUCUGGGACAGCGUCCCUAUUGAGUUCUCUUCCUCGUCUGAGUUUCAGGUCCCAGCACCAGCGUCUGUGUCCUUUGUACAGAGAACAGGUGGCCUCCCACACUUCCACAGGAUGACAGUCCACAAUGUUUAUGGUGAUUCGUCUCACAGUGUACAGUACAUUUUUUAUUGCAUCAAAGAUCAGCGUGAACUUGAGUUUGUACAUAAAGGUGAAAGAUCUCUUUGGCAAGAGCUGGGCACACUCUUGGCAUUUCCCUUAGCCUGCUUACUUUUUAAGUUUGUGCUCCUAACAGAUGUCCUAGAUUUUAAAUAACGCGUUUAUUUUCCAGUUAAACGUCAUGGUAAUUAACAUUGUUCCUGCAGUACAAAAUUAAUUUUGAUGAGAUGACGAUGUCAGGAGUACAUUGGGCUAUUCUUUUAUGGCCUCCUUUUUGCACGUGUUUCAUGACCUUAAAUUUAUCUAUUUACUCUGGGAGCUAAGAAGGUGACACUACUGUAGUCAUUUAGUAUCUGUAAAAAAAAUGUGUAGUCUUUCUAUUGAACAAGGAGAACACAUGGAGACAGGGAGGGGAACAUCACACACUGGGGCCUGCUGAGGGGUGGGGGGCAAGGGGAGGGAGAGCAUUAGGACAAAUACCUAAUGCAUGAGGGCCUUAAAACCUAGAUGACGGGUUGACAGGUGCAGCAAACCACCAUGGCACAGGUAUACCUAUGUAACAAACCUACACGUUCAGCAUAUGUAUCCCAGAACUUAAAGUAAAAAUAAUAAUAAUAAUAAUAAUAAUGUAGUCUUUCUGAAAUUUAUGUCCCUGGUUUUCAGGGCUCACAGAGCCAGAAAAGGAGAUGAAAUCCCUUUAAUGGUUCAUUGUCAUCAUCUUCAUCCAGCGUCCUUCAGAAGUAUAGAGGGUAUGAUCAUAUGUUUUAUUAUAUUUAUUUAUGGAUGUUAUAUGAUUAAUAUUGUACAGUAUAGGGUGUUCUAUAUUUCAUAUUAUUUCCUUAAACAUAUAUCAUAUUUUCUUCAAGUCAAUAAAUAUUUUCCUGAAGCAUAAUUUUUCUAGGUUGUAUGCCAUUCCUUUUCAGGAUGUGACACUAUUUAACUAAUUGCUGCUUGUUUGAAAUUCUAAUUGUUUCUACUUUGUCCUUGCUAUAAAUGUUUUUAUAUUUGCA
rnacentral:lncRNA from 10 species